rnacentral:rRNA from 1 species
CAACCCCUUGCCGUUAGUUACAUGUGUCUAACGGGACUGCCCGGCUCAACGUGGGAGGAAGGUGGGACGACGUCAAGUCAGCAUGGCCUUUAUAUCCUGGGCUACACACACGCUACAAUGGUCGGUACAAUGGGUCGCCAAGCCGCGAGGCGGAGCCAAAUCCGAAAAAGCCGGUACUCAGUUCGGAUUGCAGGCUGCAAUUCGCCUGCAUGAAGUCGGAAUCGCUAGUAAUCGCAGGUCAGCAUACUGCGGUGAAUACGUUCCGGCCUU